rnacentral:rRNA from 1 species
AUUGAACGCUGGCGGCAUGCCUAACACAUGCAAGUCGAACGGAAACGAUGGAAGCUUGCUUCCAGGCGUCGAGUGGCGGACGGGUGAGUAAUACUUAGGAAUCUACCCAGUAGCGGGGGACAACUCGGGGAAACUCGAGCUAGUACCGCAUACGCCCUACGGGGGAAAGCAGGGGAUCUUCGGACCUCGCACUAUUGGAUGAGCCUAAGUCGGAUUAGCUUGUUGGUGAGGUAAAGGCUCACCAAGGCGACGAUCCGUAGCUGGUCUGAGAGGACGAUCAGCCACACUGGGACUGAGACACGGCCCAGACUCCUACGGGAGGCAGCAGUGGGGAAUAUUGGACAAUGGGGGCAACCCUGAUCCAGCAAUGCCGCGUGUGUGAAGAAGGCCUGCGGGUUGUAAAGCACUUUCAGUAGAGAAGAAAAGCCUACGGAUAAUACCCGUGGGUCUUGACGUUACCUACAGAAGAAGCUCCGGCUAACUCCGUGCCAGCAGCCGCGGUAAUACGGAGGGAGCGAGCGUUAAUCGGAAUUACUGGGCGUAAAGCGCGCGUAGGCGGCUUUGUAAGUCGGAUGUGAAAGCCCUGGGCUUAACCUGGGAAUGGCAUUCGAUACUG